rnacentral:rRNA from 1 species
UUUGAUCAUGGCUCAGAACGAACGCUGGCGGCAGGCUUAACACAUGCAAGUCGAGCGCCCCGCAAGGGGAGCGGCAGACGGGUGAGUAACGCGUGGGAACGUACCCUUUACUACGGAACAACUCCGGGAAACUGGAGCUAAUACCGUAUGUGCCCUUUGGGGGAAAGAUUUAUCGGUAAAGGAUCGGCCCGCGUUGGAUUAGCUAGUUGGUGGGGUAAAGGCCUACCAAGGCGACGAUCCAUAGCUGGUCUGAGAGGAUGAUCAGCCACAUUGGGACUGAGACACGGCCCAAACUCCUACGGGAGGCAGCAGUGGGGAAUAUUGGACAAUGGGCGCAAGCCUGAUCCAGCCAUGCCGCGUGAAUGAUGAAGGCCUUAGGGUUGUAAAGUUCUUUCACCGGAGAAGAUAAUGACGGUAUCCGGAGAAGAAGCCCCGGCUAACUUCGUGCCAGCAGCCGCGGUAAUACGUAGGGUGCAAGCGUUAAUCGGAAUUACUGGGCGUAAAGCGUGCGCAGGCGGUUUUGUAAGACAGAGGUGAAAUCCCCGGGCUCAACCUGGGAACUGCCUUUGUGACUGCAAGGCUGGAGUGCGGCAGAGGGGGAUGGAAUUCCGCGUGUAGCAGUGAAAUGCGUAGAUAUGCGGAGGAACACCGAUGGCGAAGGCAAUCC